rnacentral:rRNA from 1 species
GAUGAACGCUAGCUAUAGGCUUAACACAUGCAAGUCGAGGGACCGGCGCACGGGUGAGUAACGCGUAUCCAACCUGACCAUAACUAAGGGAUAACCCAGCGAAAGUCGGACUAAUACCAUAUGGUUAUGGAUGGGGAUGCGUCUGAUUAGCUUGUUGGCGGGGUAACGGCCCACCAAGGCAACGAUCAGAAGGGGUUCCGAGAGGGAGGUCCCCCACAUUGGAACUGGGACACGAUCCAAACUCCUACCGGAGGUAGCAGUGUGGAAUAGUGGUCAAUGGACGCAAGUCUGAACCAGCCAAGUAGCGUGCAGGAUGACGGCCUAUGGGUUGUUAACUGCUUAUAUAUGGGUUUAGGUACCAUAUGAAUAAGGACCGGCUAAUUCCGUGCCAGCAGCCGCGGUAAUAC